rnacentral:rRNA from 1 species
UACGGAGGGGGCUAGCGUUGUUCGGAAUUACUGGGCGUAAAGGGCGCGUAGGCGGCGCUGCAAGUCAGGCGUGAAAUUCCUGGGCUUAACCUGGGGGCUGCGCUUGAGACUGUGGUGCUAGAGGAUGGAAGAGGCUCGUGGAAUUCCCAGUGUAGAGGUGAAAUUCGUAGAUAUUGGGAAGAACACCGGUGGCGAAGGCGGCGAGCUGGUCCAUUACUGACGCUGAGGCGCGACAGCGUGGGGAGCAAACAGG